rnacentral:rRNA from 1 species
UCGGAUUGCAGUCUGCAACUCGACUGCAUGAAGCCGGAAUCGCUAGUAAUCGCGGAUCAGAAUGCCGCGGUGAAUACGUUCCCGGGUCUUGUACACACCGCCCGUCACACCAUGGGAGUCGGGAAUGCCCGAAGCCGGUGACCCAACCGAAGGGAGGGAGCCGUCGAAGGCAGGUCUGAUAACUGGGGUGAAGUCGUAACAAGGUAGC